AACGAACGCUGGCGGCAUGCCUAACACAUGCAAGUCGAACGAGACCUUCGGGUCUAGUGGCGCACGGGUGCGUAACGCGUGGGAACCUGCCCUUAGGUUCGGAAUACCUCCCGAAAGGGGGGCCAAUAACGGGAAAUGUCCUCGGGCCAAAGAUUUAUCGCCUUUGGGUGGGCCCGCGUUGGAUUAGCUAGUUGGUAGGGUAAAAGCCUACCAAGGCGACGAUCCAUAGCUGGUCUGAGAGGAUGAUCAGCCACACUGGGACUGAGACACGGCCCAGACUCCUACGGGAGGCAGCAGUGGGGAAUAUUGGACAAUGGGCGAAAGCCUGAUCCAGCAAUGCCGCGUGAGUGAUGAAGGCCUUAGGGUUGUAAAGCUCUUUUACCCGGGAUGAUAAUGACAGUACCGGGAGAAUAAGCUCCGGCUAACUCCGUG
rnacentral:rRNA from 1 species